GAGAGAGAGAGAGAGAGAGAUACAAAAUGCUAGUAAUUUACUUAAAUAAUGCCUGAAGUUUGAGAACUUAGAAAUCAUUGAGAGAAGAAAAGAAAGAUUAUUUCUAGUCUGCAAGUUCUGAGAUGAGUUCACGUGAAGGCUACGCUGGGAUAUCCGUGAGUUUGAAAGCAAGAACCAGUUCUUCCCGUUGAUUCAACUCGGAACUUCACCACUGACCAAUGGAGACUAUCUUCGUGCUUAGAUGAUAUUCUGCUUUCAGGGUUUUCGCAUUCCAUCCGACUGAGUAGGUGACCUUCGGUUACUUUCUGCAGUAUACUUCUUCAGCUGCUCUGCUUUGUUUGGAAACUCUGAGGAAAUGAAGUUGACCCAAAUUGGUUCCCUUCUGAGACUUUAUUGCUAGGGUGGAUCUGAAGAUUUUGGGCUCUUCUAUUUUGGUUUUUGAUGGUGAUUUGGAAGAGCUAGAAGAACAUGAGUGCAACACAAAAGGGUACGCUAAAAAGUGUUUGAUGAUGACGGACUUUGAUUAUGAUUGUAAUUAUAAGCACCAAGAUUACCCUGUUUUUGGAGGUGUAUAAUGUUGCCCUUUACGGAAAGUAAACCAAAAUCAAGUCUAAUGAUAUCAAUCAAGGCAUGAGAGAUUCAGUUUUGCUCUCCUAUUUCUAUUCUACACCCAGCGGAGGCUGCAGAUUGAUCUCCAAGAUGAUAGAACCACCGGUUUCAAGGUACCCAUUUCUCUACUUGUUCUUAUUCUCUGUCAUUGCUCAUUUUUCUCUGGUUACAUCAGGGGAUGCCCAGAUGCUCUUAGCACUCAAGUCAUCAAUUGAUCCUUUG
rnacentral:misc_RNA from 1 species